GGAGAGGUGGCCGAGCGGCUGAAGGCGCAGCAUUGGAAAUGCUGUUCAGGGGUAACUCUGACGGGGGUUCGAAUCCCCCCCUCUCCG
rnacentral:tRNA from 1 species